UGGGAUGGCCGAGCGGUCUAAGGCGCCAGAUUUAAGCUCUGGUUCUCGAAAUAGAGCGUGGGUUCGAACCCACUCCCUAAU